rnacentral:rRNA from 1 species
AACGAACGCUGGCGGCAGGCUUAACACAUGCAAGUCGAACGCCCCGCAAGGGGAGUGGCAGACGGGUGAGUAACGCGUGGGAACGUACCCUUUACUACGGAAUAACCCAGGGAAACUUGUGCUAAUACCGUAUGUGCCCUUCGGGGGAAAGAUUUAUCGGUAAAGGAUCGGCCCGCGUUGGAUUGGCUAGUUGGUGGGGUAAAGGCCUACCAAGGCGACGAUCCAUAGCGGGUCUGAGAGGAUGAUCAGCCACAUUGGGACUAAGACACGGCCCAAGCUCCUACAGGAGGCAGCAGUGGGGAAUAUUGGACAAUGAGCGCAAGCCUGAUCCAGCCAUGCCGCGUGAGUGAUGAAGGCCCUAGGGUUGUAAAGCUCUUUCACCGGUGAAGAUAAUGACGGUAACCGGAGAAGAAGCCCCGGCUAACUUCGUGCCAGCCGCCGCCGUAACAC